CACACGCCUGAAUCUGCUCCGCCGCCAUUGCCGGAAGCAUCGGAAAGCUUCAAGCGGCGCGCAUCUCUUGGGACCGUGCACCCGUCCCCACCUCCACCCCCACCCUCCGUCUCCUACUCCCCUGUUCUAGUCCCCCACGACUACCUAGCUCCGCCACCACCAUUCCCCACACUCCCGUCUCCAAAGCUCCAGAUCUCGUCGCCGGUUCUCUUUCUACUUCUGCUAUUUGCUUUAGAUACCCCUCCGUCAAGAUCCCGCGUGUCACAUCGAAGUCUACAACGCGGUGUUCCCCUGUGGCGGAUCAAAAGAGGAAGACGGCGAUUCAAUCUCGUCUCUCCCAAGCGACGACGACUUCGCGAGCACGGAGAUGGAACCUGAGUAAUAAAUGUAGAAGAGAAAGCUUCUACUUCAGUGAUUGCCCACCAUUUACUUUGAAACCUGCAGUCUGGUCGUUUUCUCAAGAGUUGUACCUUAAUGAUUAGAUUAUCUUUUACAAGGUCACUGACUGUGUAUAGACAGGGGGCAAGUUAUUUAGUGGUAGCUGCUAGUCAAUAUGAAUAUAUAAGAAGCCUAUUGUUCAUCUUGCUGGCUUUCGGUGGUCUAUCAAUGAUGUAUAACUUUCAUUUUCGACAGUUGUAGCUUGUAAUGAAACAUGUUGUGACCUAUUCAACAGCUGUCCAUAAAGGAUGUUGAAGAUUUGUCAAAAUUUGAAUGUAUCUAUACACUAAGAGUGUCUAGAUACAUUCAAAUUUAGACAAACUUUCAACAUCUUUGGACAGAGGUGGUACAAUUUUUCCUAAUAGUCCAUCCUUUUGCUGUAUCUAGUGGGCACAUGAAUGAUAACCAUAUCAUUUAAGGAAUUGCUUAGCUGUUCUUUUCGUUUUUUACUCUUGCACUGUUGGUGAAAGAUGUCCAUGUACCUGAGAUGGCUACCUAAAUGAAUCGUAUAAAUGCAUAUAAUGUCCGAGUUUGACAUCAUAAACUUGCCUAGUGUUAUUCCUCUAUUCCCUACUGUUAUUCCUGUGUUUUAUAUUUGUAAGAGAUAGCAUAUAUUACCUCUAUUCCGAAAUAUAAGCCUUUCGAAAAAGGAUCAUGUUUUGGAACAGGGGUAGUAACAGUUAUACUGUUUUGACAAAUUUAACCCGAUUCGACAUAUUUAUCCUGAUUCUAGAAUGUUUGAUACAUGGUGCCUGGCAUAAAUCAAUUGGUGAAUCUCUGCUUUGUUAUCUCAAUAAUCCUGAGUUCUAUACUAGUAGCCUAGUGACUUGUUGGAACAAAGAGGGAGCAUGUAAAUUAUAUUUUUCUGACCUUAUAUUUUCAAUUCGUCUUUGUAUACAUGGCGUACAUGCAUGCAUCUAGUGGGAUAUCAACCUUUUAUCAGGUAAAUGUUAACUAAUCUCUAAGAGACUAAGAUUGCACCCCUAGAUGAACCUUACAAAAUUGUACAUGCUAAGAAUUAGUCCGACUACUUGGUGGUUUCAGUUAGUUUCCCGAUCAAAUGAACUAACUAAUAUAUGUAGUGCUUCUUUUAGUACUCUUAACGCAUUUUUAGGCAGGAGUUGACACAUAUUAGAUUGCCUGUAUUUUUUUGUGGGAUGUCUUCAGCAUAUCAUCGUUUCAUUAUAUUGCAAAGGUGUCCUAUUUUUAUUUACAACUUAAGUAUUAGUUAGACGUGUCCAUGUAUAUAGUUAUAUAUGUUACCUGAUGGGUGCAUCGAGUUGUUCAGCCAUUGUUAAAGUUAGGACUGUAUGGUGAGACACGGAGAACUCUAUUAUAUGGCCUCUAUGUGCAGGACCGUUAAUACAUCUACAACACUACUGGUAGCCUUUCUCAGGGGAAGACAUCUUCUGAGGUAAAGGUCACGAGAAGGAAUCUUGCCUUCCUGGGUGCGGGACCAGUGGAGUAAAGAGCUGGGUUGCACGUGGGGAAGGCAUCUUCUGAGGUAAGGGUCACGACAAGUAAUCUUUGCCAGUUUUCUAAAGCAGUACCAAACAGAAUUUGAUAUAGAACUUCAUAAUCGCGUUGGUCAGUACUAUACGGAUAGACUGUUGGUCCGUGGUGAUAACAAAAGUUUAAUUGGUGAAUGGGAAUAACACAUUGAUCAAUCUUACAUAUAGCUCUUUGGAUUGAGGAAAACAACCUGCAGAUUGCGUUUGAGCAGAAGGAGCCCAAACUGAAGACGAGGGAGCUCAAGCUGAAGGAAGUGAUCGGGAACAACAGCGAGAAAGCCUCGCGAACUUUUAAUGUGUAUGCCAAUGUGUGCAUCUCUGCUCUCAGCGUAGUUGUUAUUCUGUUUUCAAAUCUUGUGUUCGUUCUUCUAAAAUAGCUCAUUAGACUGAUUGUAUUAUAGAAUUUUGAAAAAACAUGUAUAUUGCUUCAGAUGUUUCCUUGUACCUAUUUCCAUGUUAACAAGUUUACCUCUACCUAACAAUAAAUUCCCAGCCA